rnacentral:rRNA from 1 species
UAACGCUGGCUGCGUGCUCUACACAUGCAGUCGAACGCUGAAGCUGACAGCUUGCUGUUGGUGGAUGAGUGGCGAACGGGUGAGUAACACGUGAGUAACCUGCCCCUGAUUUCGGGAUAAGCCUGGGAAACUGGGUCUAAUACCGGAUACGACCAAUCCUCGCAUGAGGAUUGGUGGAAAGUUUUUCGAAUCGGGGAUGGGCUCGCGGCCUAUCAGCUUGUUGGUGGGGUAAUGGCCUACCAAGGCGACGACGGGUAGCCGGCCUGAGAGGGCGACCGGCCACACUGGGACUGAGACACGGCCCAGACUCCUACGGGAGGCAGCAGUGGGGAAUAUUGCACAAUGGGGGAAACCCUGAUGCAGCGACGCAGCGUGCGGGAUGACGGCCUUCGGGUUGUAAACCGCUUUCAGCAGGGAAGAAGCGAAAGUGACGGUACCUGCAGAAGAAGUACCGGCUAACUACGUGCCAGCAGCCGCGGUAAUACGUAGGGUGCGAGCGUUGUCCGGAAUUACUGG